UGUAUAUCUUAUCCCUCUAGAUCUGAAGAUAAAAACAGGAGACACGUAGUUUAUUGUUAGUUUAGUGUGAACUGUUUCAACUUUACGAUGAAUCUCCAAGUAUUAUGGGCCCUUACCGGCAUAUUGUCAGUUGUUUUCGUGAACGCCGAUGUUUGCGAUAACCAAUAUACACAACAUGCAGCUCUCCAGAGAUGUUUCGACGAUGAAGGCAUUGAUUAUGCUAUACCUUUAGCCACUGAACAGCUGAAGGACGUAGUAUUAGAUACAGGUGCCGUGUGCAAUGAUUCAGCAGCUUUUAUUCGGUCAGGUUUGUGUGCUUCUAAUAUCAGCAGAUCCUGUGCUCCCAAGGAAGUGGCCCUUCUAGUCCCAACUUCUACGGAGUACACCAAAUCUAUCAAUUAUCUGUGUAGUCAUUUAACAGAAUUAAAACCCGAUUGUAUACAAAGCCAUAUGGAUGAUGUCAAAGCAUGUGCAUUAAAAGAAGUAUUAAAGAAUUCAACUGAUGCACCCGAUUUUUCCAAGGAUUACACGAAGGCACUAUGCAUGACCUUCACUAUCAGUAGUGUCUGUGCCAACUACCAUCUUAGAGAUUGUGGUCUACGCUCAAGGCUAGUCUACAGAACUUAUAAUGAAUAUAUCUUACCGGAUGCUUGUCGAGAUCCUAGUACUAUUAUUGGUUAAUUAAAUUUAAAAUCACCGAUGUAAUUGGGAUCGAAUCUCUCUUUCUAAUAAAG